rnacentral:lncRNA from 1 species
CUUUGUGGAGCUGCUUUUGCAAACAGACCCCUCUCAUGGUUGAAGGAGAGAACCUCAGGGAUCACUACUCACAUCAGUGGGUUGAGGUUUUGGGACUUCAGGAACACAUUGGACACAGCUUGACAAAAAUUGUGAAGUCACUGUGGAAACCUAUUCUGAAGUCCUCUAAGAUGCAUGUCCUGUUAUUUUGA